ACUUAUUGAUUUUCAUAUACUGGACCAUUCCUGUAUCUCUGAAAUGAAGGAAAACAAUCACCAAAUGCAUGCCUGGUGUCUGCGUCAAAUGGGAGCCCCAGGUGCCCUGGAACUGGCGUUGGACUAUUGUGAAAGGCCGUGUUGGGGUUGGUAACUGAAUUCUUACUCUGGAAGAACAGCAAGAGCAUUAGCUGAGUCAUCUCUCCACUUUAAACACUGUAAAUUCUAGGAAGCCUCCCUUCCUUUCGUAGUGCCUCAUGGCUUCCUUCACUCGACAGAUUCCGUCUCAGUAGAAAGAUCUGAACCUUUUGCUAAAUGUGGCUUAUUUUGACCUUUUGAAUAUUCAUCCGCAGAAUGUACAAAAAUAAAACUACUGCUGACCUGUG
rnacentral:lncRNA from 1 species